UACGUAGGGGGCUAGCGUUGUCCGGAAUCAUUGGGCGUAAAGCGCGUGUAGGCGGUCCGGUAAGUCCGCUGUGAAAGUCCAGGGCUCAACCCUGGGAUGCCGGUGGAUACUGUCGGGCUAGAGUACGGAAGAGGCGAGUGGAAUUCCCGGUGUAGCGGUGAAAUGCGCAGAUAUCGGGAGGAACACCAAUUGCGAAGGCAGCUCGCUGGGACGUUACUGACGCUGAGACGCGAAAGCGUGGGGAGCGAACAGG
rnacentral:rRNA from 1 species